rnacentral:piRNA from 1 species
UAGCUAGAGCUAUGCGGCAGGCCAAGC